CGGGGAUGCUGGAACCUGCGGUUGAGUGAGAAACCGGCGCCACCGCCUGCGUCUUGGUCUCGGGCUGGUGGCCAGCGGGGUCUGGGCGUGGUUUUACCCAGCUCCUUUGCGAAGCUGCUGUCCUUUCCUCAACGUUACCACCCGGCUGGGCAGCCUACCCUCGGUGUGCACCUUCCAAGCUUGCAACAGACCACAUUCAGAAGCUUGAUUUCUUGUUGUUCUGGGAAUAUCUGGAUCAGAGAUUUCUCCAAGCCACUCUCCCCGUCAUCUCCUCCACCCCCAGGACCCAACUCCUGCCCCUCCCACCCUAGCCCCUGUUCUCCCUGCCCACCUCCUACCCCACUGGAGUGGCCUUUCAUCAAACCUAAACCAAAGAAACCAAC
rnacentral:lncRNA from 1 species